GUUCGGGUUAAGUACCCGCAACGAGACCGCAACCCCUGUCAUUCACGUUGCCGAAUCGGUAACGGGCCGGGCACUCGUAGGGAUGGACCUGCCGGCGACAAGCCGGAGGAAGGUGGGGAUGACGUCAAGUCAUCAUGGCCCUUAUGUCCAGGGCGACACACGUGCUACAAUGGCCGGCACAACGGGAAGCGAGUUCGCGAGGACGAGCGGAUCCCUUAAAGCCGGUCGCAGUUCGGAUUGAAGUCUGCAACUCGACUUCAUGAAGCUGGAAUCGCUAGUAAUCGUGGAUCAGCCAAGCCGCGGUGAAUACGUUCCCGGGCCUU
rnacentral:rRNA from 1 species